rnacentral:sRNA from 1 species
GGAGAGGAAUUUAAAAGCAUUUCUUCUUCUUUGGCUCUUUUUGAUUGAUUCGUUUCGAUAUGGAACUAAGCAAAUUGGCGGUUGCGUAUUCCCAUUAUUCAUACCUGUGCUAAUGAAUCCGGACACAUUGAGAGAGCCUGCGAUUAGUAACGACAUUGCAGCAAGUUAUCGAUGCGAAGAAAUGGCACGCGGAAGGGGAUGGGAUGGGUAGUGACGGCUAUUCCCCCAAUAUUUGCUCUGGGCGUUGGCACACCAACUCGCCAAGUCGACAACUCGUGGCUUCCUCUGCCUGGUUGGGCCGAAAUGCAGUUGUCUUUGGAAUAGAUGGGUUCCUGCUCAGACUCAGUCUCUGCAAAUGAAGGGGUGUGCCUGGCAUGGGCAAAGAUGGGGAAUAAGAUGAGGAAGUGAAGGAGGAGCACCUGGUCUCGCAGGAGGCAGCGCAAGGCGUGCGACAUGCAACACAAGCCAAUCAAGCGACCUUGAGUCGGAGGGAAGAGUUGGAUGCUGCUGGAGCACCAGAUGAGUUGAUAACCUGCCCGGCGUGCUUGGCUUUUUGUGGGUGUGCAAACCAGUAAAUUGGAGCUAUUUCCAUCAAUUUCCAACGCGCGGCACUUGACAAAGUAAACAGAUUGCUGGUCUCCCCUUCCAUUGGGAUCUGAAAAUAAUCCUAGGUCCGACAGGAGUGGACCUCGAAGUUCGGCACCAUUUUCAGGUACACAAAAGGGGCAUCGCCUGGGAAAUUUAUGACCACUUGCCUGUUGCAUGCACCGUGCACCACCGAGUGGAACGGAACACCAACCACCACCCAUCUUACCCACCAGAACGGCAUCCCGACCCAAAACUGUUACACUUGGCUAAUUGAUUUAUGAGAGCGGGUUUCCAAAAUAUUUCCAAUACAAACAUGGACUAAGAGGCUAAGAUGCACUUGGUUGUAAUAUUAUUCUGCAUGUGGGUGGGUUGACCGAACAAAAACCACAAGAGGAAUCGUGGCAAACAUGUCGCAUGAAAGG